GGACGACAAUGGAGAUAAAAGUCAAGAUUCUCUCUGAGAUCUCUUCGUGUGUCAAAAUACACAAGAUGUCAACGCCCAUGAUAGUAUUUGAAUGACUCGGAUUCAUUUAUAUUCCAUUUGCAUUCCAAAGGUUUAUAACAAUUUUGUUUCUUUCUGGCUUUUUUGCUUACUAUUUUUUCUUAAUCAGGUUGCAAAAGGAUGGAUUUCACAAUUAUGAUAAUAAAUGUGAUAGGGUUUAUCUAAAUUUACUCUCCCUUACCAAACGAGUACUCGACUUUGUGAAGUUCAUUUUUGCAUAAACUCUACUAAUAAUAGGGAAAUUGAGAAACAACAAUAAAAACAAACUCACCACUAUAGAAGUAAAAAAUAAAUCAAACCCAUACUUAACUUGGAAAUUUGUGAUCAAAAGAACUUUAGCUAUGAAACUGAUUUUUCUGACUACCUUGUUAGGACUCCUCUUGCCUAAAAGGGGUAAAAUGCUCGCUACUUGUCUACAUGGGCCACAAGUACAAUCCCACAGUUUCUCAUGCUUAUAAAACUUUAUAGUUACGCUUAGCGGAAAUCAAGAACCUAUGUCAUGAUUUCAUCAGUAUUGCCUCAGUUUGCAUAUAGUCGUAGGAAAGACGCAACAACAACAAAAAGCACUAUACUGUGUUGGUUGUCACUUGUAGGCUAAUAGCAGCAAUACUAUAUUAUAGCCAUUAAAGUUUGUAUCAAAAUUCAAGCAUGAGGACACCAUGUGUGCAACAAGCAUAAACACCCUACCAAGGUGAACUUGCGGAGGGCCAUAGACCUACCUUAUGGACAACCCUCAUAAUGGUUGGUGACUAACAUAAAUCAAGAGUUAUGAUCUACUAUAGUACAUUUGAGCAUCAUUGUGAUCUCAAUGUGAGAGUGGUUGGCUAGCCGAUGGCAUUCACGAUAAAUAUUGGAGUAGUAUGUUACCUGGAGAAGCCAUCAUAAAAAAAUCCAUAUAUCUAUGUGAGAACUAUAGCCAAAGAAACAGAGGGAACUAAAAAGGCAAGUAUUAUGGGCAAGCUAUGUUUAGGUCGGAUAGGAAAAGGAGGCAUCUGGAAUCAAUGGACUCUCGGCUGGCUUGCUUCUUCCCGAGUCGUGCUCCAAAAAAGUGAACCACACUCAAAGUCAAGCACGCUAAUGUUCAAGAGAUUAGAACACGUGAUCCCCGUCGUUCAUUAUCUAUGGGGCAACCUCACUCGUAAUGAUGGUUCCACAAGAACAUGUGCAAAGCGAGCACCCUGCAAUCCUAGAAAGCUGCUAAGGAUCGACAACACUGGGUCAGCCUCUAACCUUUGCAGUUGCAGGGCAGCGAGCCAGCAUAUCCUAUACAGUGUUUGAUCUCAUGCGUCCAUCAAGAAUUGGUCACUUGUUCAACAUGAAGCUGCCUCCCACUUAACAUGAUCGUGUUGCAAUAUCGAUCCCUGCCUUCUCGGGCACCACUACUGGGUGCCACUUUUACAGCCAUUCACGCACUAGCUUGGGCAGCUCUGCAAGGAACCUUCAAAGCUCUCCGGUUCUUCACGCAACCCAGACUCAAAUUGAUCGUUUUCUCAAGAGCACAAAUGCACAUCAGAAGUUCAUCACAAUCCUUGAAAUUUCUAACACCUCCUUUUAAACAAGCUAGACAUUACAUUAUGAUGUAUUAAAAUAGCCACUUUCCUAAUGGCCUUGUGUUGGCAGCUAACAUGCUUCAUAUUGCACUGUGAAUCCAUUUUUCAAGCGAAAAUUUGUUC
rnacentral:lncRNA from 1 species